rnacentral:rRNA from 1 species
UACGUAGGGGGCGAGCGUUAAUCGGAAUUACUGGGCGUAAAGCGUGCGUAGGCGGUUCGCUGUGUCCGAUGUGAAAGCCCCGGGCUUAACCUGGGAAUGGCAUUGGAAACUGGCGGGCUUGAGUGCGGCAGAGGGGGGUGGAAUUCCGCGUGUAGCAGUGAAAUGCGUAGAGAUGCGGAGGAACACCGAUGGCGAAGGCAGCCCCCUGGGUCGACACUGACGCUCAGGCACGAAAGCGUGGGGAGCAAACAGG